rnacentral:rRNA from 1 species
UACGGAGGGUGCGAGCGUUGUCCGGAAUCAUUGGGCGUAAAGGGCGCGUAGGUGGCCCGGUCAGUUCGUGGUGAAAGCGCGGGGCUCAACCCUGCGUCGGCCAUGAAUACUGCCGCGGCUGGAGCACUGUAGAGGCAGGCGGAAUUCCGGGUGUAGCGGUGGAAUGCGUAGAGAUCCGGAAGAACACCGGUGGCGAAGGCGGUCUGCUGGGGCAGUUGCUGACGCUGAUGCGCGACAGCGUGGGGAGCAAACAGG